rnacentral:rRNA from 1 species
AAGCGCACAGAACCGUAUGGUUCCGUGUGAAAAACUCCGGUGGUAUAAGAUGGACCCGCGUUGGAUUAGCUAGUUGGCAGGGCAGCGGCCUACCAAGGCGACGAUCCAUAGCCGGCCUGAGAGGGUGACCGGCCACAUUGGGACUGAGACACGGCCCAGACUCCUACGGGAGGCAGCAGUGGGGAAUAUUGCACAAUGGGGGAAACCCUGAUGCAGCGACGCCGCGUGAAGGAAGAAGUAUCUCGGUAUGUAAACUUCUAUCAGCAGGGAAGAUAAUGACGGUACCUGACUAAGAAGCCCCGGCUAACUACGUGCCAGCAGCCGCGGUAAUACGUAGGGGGCAAGCGUUAUCCGGAUUUACUGGGUGUAAAGGGAGCGUAGACGGCGCAGCAAGUCUGAUGUGAAAGGCAGGGGCUUAACCCCUGGACUGCAUUGGAAACUGCUGUGCUUGAGUGCCGGAGGGGUAAGCGGAAUUCCUAGUGUAGCGGUGAAAUGCGUAGAUAUUAGGAGGAACACCAGUGGCGAAGGCGGCUUACUGGACGGUAACU